CCUACGGGAGGCAGCAGUGAGGAAUAGUGGUCAAUGGACGAGAGUCUGAACCAGCCAAGUAGCGUGAAGGAUGACUGCCCUAUGGGUUGUAAACUUCUGUUAUAGGGGAAUAAAACGUGACACGUGUGGGAUUUUGUAUGUACCAUAUGAAUAAGGAUCGGCUAACUCCGUGCCAGCAGCCGCGGUAAUACGGAGGAUCCGAGCGUUAUCCGGAUUGAUGGGGUUUAAAGGGAGCGUAGGUGGAUUGUUAAGUCAGUGGUGAAAGUUUGCGGCUCAACCGUAAAAUUGCAGUUGAAACUGGCAGUCUUGAGUACAGUCGCGGUGGGCGGCAUUCGUUUUGUAGCGGUGACAUGCUUCGCUCUCAC
rnacentral:rRNA from 1 species